UAAACUAUAUUUAUUUUGUAAAUAUGUCUUGUAUUUAUGGUUUACCUAACUAACAACAUUCAUGGUUUAUUAACUUAUAGGGAAAACAAAGUCAAACUCCACAGUCUACACAAGCUACAGAAGCUAAUAUCACACAGUUAGACAGUCAAGCUCCACAGUCUACACAAGCUACAGAAGCUACAAUCACACAGCUGGAAAGUCAAGUUACUGGAAUUGAAAUGGCCUCAGAGAAAAAUGACAAAAGAAAGGUAGUUUAGUUUAGUGUGUACUCAUUUAUUUCUUAUAAUUCAUGUGUGUAAUGGUAUUUGUUUGGUUAUGUAGAGAACUCAAGCAGCUGUGAAGAAUGCAACUGCAAGGAACAAAUUACCAACAACAAGAAAAGCAAAAGAAAAGAUUAUGCAAGAAAAUGAACCAACAAGAAAAGAAAAGGGUAAAGGAAAGGAACCAAUGAUGUCUGUUAUUACAAAGGCAAGAAACCAACAAAUUGAUGGUUCAUCUCCAUCACAGAAUUUGAGGCCAAGAAAUAAAAAAGGUCUUGUGACAAGAAGCCAACAAGCUCAUGUGGCAAGAAACCAACAGUCACAACCAAAGUCUGUGAGGAGAAGAUUAAUUGAUGAGGAUGAUUAGGGGUGCAAAAAUACAGUGACUUUUGUUGUUUUUGUGAACUUUUUAUCAUAUUGCAUAUUUUCUAUCAUUUCAUUUUGCUAGCUGGAUUGAUUACUUUUGAACAUGUUCUUAAUUUUGCUGUUUGAUGAAUUUUUGGCUAUUUUGUAAGCUUGGUGGAUUAUUUCCAUGCUAGAUUGGUAACUUUUGAGAGCUGACUGGAUAUUGUUAUUUUGUGCACUCGUGUCUUAUGUUAUGUGCAAUGAAUGAUCAACAGUUCUUUGAUUGUAUUGGUUGACACAUCUUUUACAAUUUGAUUAAUAGUUCUAAAUAUUGAUCAACACACAAAUAUUGACAGUUCCAAAUAUUGAUCAUUUCACAGAUCAUAAAAAUUCAGUACAUAUAUUCAUUACACAUAAAAAUUCUGCAACUUACAUAGGCCAAGUAAUUAUAUUUUUCCACUUAAAAAAACCACAAUAAUCCUACUACAAUUUCAAAAAUCUAGAUAAGAAUAUAGACCAACAACAGGGCAACUACCAAGGCCAUCCACAACCACUUUUCCCUUGACCCUUUUUUGCUCAACUGUUCUUCAAUCUUCUUUAACUCCUUUUCAUUGUUGUUAAUUCUUCGAAGUAAGCCAGGAAUUAUCUGACGAGAUCUUUCGCACAUUGGGGGAUCAACCCAAGCGAAGUAAUUGCAACCUCCAAUUUCUUGAUAACAUAUAAUCGUUCAUAAAAAAAUGAAACUUACAGAUCAAUUCAAAUAUGCUAUUUCAAAUUUUUUUCUUACCCUAUAUUUUUGACAUGUUUCGUAUCUCCUUCCUGGGUUUAAUUCAGUCCAGGACGUCUUCAUUGUUGUCCUCCUUGAACAGUAGCACGACAUUUUUAAGAACAACAAGAAAAAAAUGUGAAGAGAAAAAUGGAGGGAAUGGGAGAAUGAGAGAUGAGUUGCAUUGAAAAUAAAUGAGAAGAAAGAGAAAAAUGGAGGGAAAAUAAUGGACAUAAGAGAGAAAUGGAGGGAAAACAAUGGACAUAAGAGAGAAAUGGAGGGAAAAUUGAAGGAAAUGGGGCUUUAGGACUGGAAAAGACAACAUUAACCUUGAGUGUAGCAUGUGCAACGCAUGUGAGAUGAGAACCGGUCAUUUUGACAUGCAAACGGGCAAAAAAGGGCAAAGUGGCACAAUUAACUAAGUUGAGAUGAAGUCUUGCAAAAAAAUUUUGUUCAGGUGGUGAUCCGCAAAAACUGAAAAAGUUCAGGUGGUUUAAU